AUGUAAUUCAGACAAAUCAUGUAACCCCAAUAAAUAAACAAAUAAAUAAAAUCGGUUAAUGUUUUUUUUCACCAGGACAAUUUUAGAGGCCUGGUCUGGACACCGUGAACAUUUCUGAGGGCGCCGCGGUUUCUAGCUAUUACAGCCGCUACUGUUAAUUACUUGACUUCUGGUGGAAGUAGUUACACUUGAUUUCAUUUAAGGGUGUCAAAUUAAAAGGGGGCGAAUAAAAAAAUGUGCUGUUAUUUUUGCAUUUUUGUUUAGAAAUAUCUAGAAAGCCUGUUUGUCUUUUUCUUCCGGAUCGGCGUCGCAACAGGCCGAUUAAACACAGCGAUAUUACAGGUUGUCGUGCAGGAAAAUUUAAUUUAACAAUUAUGAACGGUUUUAAAAAGCUGCAUGAUUUCAUCAACAAAUUGCCAAAAAAGAAGUGAAUCUAGUUAAGUCACAAAAACUAACCAUUAAAUCAGCAAGAAAUUCAAACCGAAGUCGUCUGGGAUGGAUGAAACACAGGUAGUUCACUUAUUAUUAUUUUUUUUUCUUAUUAUGCUUUAUUGAAAAAUGGGCAUAGAUAUAAAAAUAAAAACAACAAAAAUAAAAAAAUACAACCUCUUGGCUUACAAGCUGUGGAAAACAGGAAGUAAUCUUCUAAACCAUUACAUAGGAAUAAGUCAGAAGCUGCCAGGAGAAAAACAUUUUCACAUUGUCUUGGGCUCCAAAGUAAAACUCAUUUUGAUUAAUUUAAAAAUACAACAGUAGAGAGCAAGAGUUGAGCUGAGUGUCAACUUAAAAGACGUUAAAAAUGUUAAAGGUGAAAGAAAGAGAAAAAACAGAGUUUAAAAUGGAUUUUUGUCGAUCUGAUUACAUUUGCUUACAGGGACAUUUUGCUGAAACUCAUUAUCACCGUGUUUGAUUUCCGUAAAUUCAUAGUUUCAGUGCCGGCAACGCAGCAUAAUCUAGACUGAACAUGAGAAAAUGUCAGAGGUUACGAAAUGUUAUUUUUCCUUUACCAGUUUCAAUGGUUGGAGUUGUUUGGUAAUGAACAAAUAAUAAUAAUAAUAAUAAUAAUAAUAGAAAACCUUAUUGAAACACUUUGUUUUCUGAGCAAUGUGUUCUUAUAAUUUACUUUAACCACACAGGAUUAUUGGGUGUUCAGUUCUAGUCCAUUUAUGAGAGAUUAAUUACAAGAUUAUUGCACCAUUUGCUCCAAACUGUUAAGAAAAACCACAGAUAGCAACAGAACAAAACAAACCAGCACAAAAUGAAACACAAGAGCAUAAAAACAAUGAUCACAACCACCUGGUUCUGAAUUAAUAAGAGAUUGGAGUAAGACUGAGGAAAGGCUUUUGGGUGCUGGCAGAUUGAAAGCACAUGCCGGUCGCUCUGAUCUAAGCUGAGCUUUGGUUCUGUCUCGGCUCAUUGGCAGCUCAAACAUCGACUGAAGUAAAACAAUAAAAAAGAAAAAAAUAAUAAAAUUGUUCAGUUGGUUUGACUCGAGCUCGGGAGAAGCUUUGCGUUCAAAGGCAAUUUCAAAAGCCUCCUUUAAAGAAAAAUAUGUCAGCUGUUGCAGCUCUGACAUGUUAGCAUCUCAUUUUGACUGGUAAAGAAACACCAAGAGAGACAAAAACAAAAAAUAAAAUUCAUUUAACGUAAGCAGUCAAACAGUGAUGGUGUUGUAUUUCUUUGCAUACAGGAUUACAUGCUCUUUAUUUGUGGUAAAGAAGUUUAAUACUGAAAAAUCCACCUUCAUUUAGUAGCUCUUACCUACUUAUGAUAAAAAAAACAAUUAGUAAGAUUCUACAUAUAAAAAGAAUAAAAAUACACUAAAGGACACAUCUGAUAAUAAAGUGGCUCAAAUAUAUAUAUGUAAAAA